AGAGUGAUGCGCAAUCUGGCCGGUGAAAUGCAAUGAUAAAGGGAUGUUGUUGAGUUCUGAUUCAUGCCCUGUAAGCCAUCAAAGAUAGUCACUUGAUAGCGCGACACAUCUCUGCACUCUGGAGUGGCAUCAGGUGACUGGUCGCCGGUGACCCGGCCUGACCGAUCCCCGGCACUCCGGCCGGCCUCAACGUAAAAACGUCGUCAAUAUGGAAGGAAGCGGGAGCGGAAAAGCAGAAAAGGAGGACAUGAAAAAGAACAAUGAAGAGCUGACAAAACUCCGAGAACUAUUUCAGAAGCAUAAAGGAUACGUGGAAUGCAGCAUCUGCUUUAGCAUCUUCGUUGAGCCAGUAACCCUAGAGUGUGCCCACACAUUCUGUAAGAACUGCAUAGAAAAGACUCCGAGACCUGUCGCAGGAAUAUUCGAUUACCCGCACCCUCCAAAUCAAAAUCAAUGUCGCCAGUGUCCGCUCUGUCGCCAAGUGUCAAACAUACAGGUUCCCAAUCUGGCUCUGAAGAACAUAUCCGGCACCUUCUCUGGCGAUCAGCAGCGAGAAGUCGCCAGGGGGACCAGCGGUGCCGGUGGGACCAGCGGUGCCGUUGGGACCAGUGGUACCGGUGGGACCAGUGGUGCCGUUGGGACCAGUGGUACCGGUGGGACCAGUGGUGCCGGUGGGACCAAAGGUGCCGGUGGGACCAAAGGUGCCGGUGGGACCAAAGGUGCCGGUGGGACCGGCGGUGCCAGUGGGUCCAGCGGUCCAGCGGUGCAGGCACCGCUGGCCUCCUUCGGUGCAGUACCGCGGGCCGCAGUCGGUUCGCAAGUGGCCUACAACAGCAAGACAAUUAGUCCAGAACUUGAAAGGAUGUUACAAGACAUGGGGUUUCCGAUUCUCCCACAUAUUUUCCGGGAUUGAUAGGAUAGAUGCCGCUACGGCGCUAGUUGGGAGACGUAAACCAUGGGGACUGAUGGGUAGACAUAAGGAUUGAAUAUCUGUCACUGGGUGAUUUCAUGCUUAUUGUUCAUAUGUGUAUGUAUGUAUGUAUGUAUGUAUGUAUUCACUUAAGCAGACCAAUCCACACGACAGGGCUAUUCUGAGGUCAUUGUCAUACAAUCAGCUAAUAAUAAAGAACACAGUAAAAAUACAUCAUCAUACUGUAUCUAAUUAAAAGUAUACACUAAAAACGCGUAUAUACCUAUAAAAUGUACACACAUGAUAA